rnacentral:lncRNA from 1 species
GGUUAAGGGUGAUUGGAUAUUUGGGUCCUUUUGUGUAUGUGGUCAUCAGCAUUCAAGAAAUCUAAACGUUUUGUGAGCUACAUUAUUUGAUGAUUAGUUGUAGUCUGCCUUACGUCCAGUGGCAAAUAUUUCACACACGUUCAAGACAAUACGAGAUCGAUGGUUGGAAUGAAUUAUAAUUAAGGGAUAUGAUAUGUCUAAUGACGUAAGUAUUUGAUAGUUAUAUCAUUCAUGGUACCCUUUUUUUUUUUACAGAGAAACAUACUGUGUCCCUGAAUACGAACAACUACAAAACUAGACAAUUUCUCAUUGACAAGAAAUAAGAGCAGUUUUCUGCACACUGGUUAAGUAAGUGUAUAAAUAUUUGGUCAUAAAGAAAAGAGAUACAUGAAAUACAUACCCAUUGCUACUGGUUAUAAAAUUAUCCAAUAUUGCUAUAUUUAUUUGUAGUUAGGGCGUAGGUUACAAUUCAUAGACACGUUCAAUCAGAAUUUGUAUAUUCCAUACUUCAUUUCACAUGCUGGUAUUCAUACAUUUCCACGAAGAAAUGAACAUCACAAUGUCAAUAUCAUUCCUCACAUCCGAAACAAGUUGUUUCUCGUACCGGAGAAUGUCUGAAGUUACAAUUUAUAAACAAAUCUUUUUACCUUUAUCAAUAAAAUGUGUAAUAUAUAAUUGCUUGUCUGUUUAUACGACGGAUCGAAAGGUAAUUUCCUCCUUCUUCUACCUGUAAAGUUUUAC